UGGGGAAUAUUGGACAAUGGGCGCAAGCCUGAUCCAGCCAUGCCGCGUGAGUGAUGAAGGCCUUAGGGUCGUAAAGCUCUUUCGACGGGGACGAUAAUGACGGUACCCGUAGAAGAAGCCCCGGCUAACUUCGUGCCAGCAGCCGCGGUAAUACGAAGGGGGCUAGCGUUGCUCGGAAUCACUGGGCGUAAAGGGCGCGUAGGCGGACGUUUAAGUCAGAGGUGAAAGCCCAGGGCUCAACCCUGGAAUGGCCUUUGAUACUGGACGUCUUGAGUCUGGUAGAGGUUGGUGGAACUGCGAGUGUAGAGGUGAAAUUCGUAGAUAUUCGCAAGAACACCGGUGGCGAAGGCGGCCAACUGGACCAGAACUGACGCUGAGGCGCGAAAGCGUGGGGAGCAAACAGGAUUAGAUACCCUGGUAGUCCACGCCGUAAACGAUGGAUGCUAGCCGUUGGCGGGUUUACCCGUCAGUGGCGCAGCUAACGCGUUAAGCAUCCCGCCUGGGGAGUACGGCCGCAAGGUUAAAACUCAAAGGAAUUGACGGGGUCAUAGCUGUUUCCU
rnacentral:rRNA from 1 species